rnacentral:sRNA from 1 species
UGACCCUAAUGGGUCACCUAGCCAACUGACGUUGUUAGUGAACUUAAGUAUUCACAAAUGACAGCCAAUAGAUAAAUUUCUAUUGGCUAUUUUUUU